rnacentral:rRNA from 1 species
UUGGCUUAGAAGCAGCCAUCCUUGAAAGAGUGCGUAAUAGCUCACUGGUCAAGUGGUUCUGCGCCGACAAUGUAGCGGGGCUCAAGCGUACCGCCGAAGCUGUGGCAGCAACACGUAUGGCUGGCGCCAGUUUAUUGGUUGUUGGUGUGUUGUUGGGUAGGGGAGCGUCCUGCAUGAGGUGAAGCCUGGAGGUGACUUCUGGUGGAUUGUGUGGGAGUGAGAAUGCAGGCAUGAGUAACGAAUCUGCGGUGAGAAUCCGCAGCGCCGAUUGACUAAGGGUUCCAGGGCUAGGUUUAUCCGCCCUGGGUUAGUCGGGUCCUAAGGCGAGGCCGACAGGCGUAGUCGAUGGACAACCAGUUGAUAUUCUGGUACCAGGUUGUGACCGCCCAUGCUGAGGUCAUUGUGCUAACCAAUUUGCCCGCGCCUCUGCAUGACCUUCGGGUUGCGUGGUGUGUGUGGGUCUUGGGGUCCCGGUGAUGGUAGGCAAGCGUGUUAACAGGGGUGACGCAGACAGGUAGCUGCAGUGCGCCGAUGGUUGUGCGUAUUUAAGGUUGUGGCCCGCCCUUUAGGUAAAUCCGGGGGGCACUAGGGUGAGGACUGAUGAGGGACACGCGUGUGUGUGGACUUGUGGUGAUCCUAUGCUGCCGAGAAAAGCCUCGACGUGAGGGCAUGACCUGCCCGUACCCUAAACCGACUCAGGUGGUCAGGUAGAGUAUACCGAGGCGUUCGAGUGAAUCAUGGUUAAGGAACUCGGCAAAAUUCCUCCGUAACUUCGGGAUAAGGAGGACCCCUUGGCUUCCCCGCGCCAUGCGCGCUGGUGGGGUUGGGGGGUCGCAGAGAAUAGGGAGAAGCGACUGUUUAUCAAAAACACAGGUGCGUGCGAAGCCGUAAGGCGAUGUAUACGCACUGACGCCUGCCCGGUGCUGGAAGGUUAAGAGGAACCGUCAACACUCUCUUGGGGUGUGAAGCGGUGAAUUUAAGCCCCAGUAAACGGCGGUGGUAACUAUAACCAUCCUAAGGUAGCGAAAUUCCUUGUCGGGUAAGUUCCGACCUGCACGAAUGGCGUAACGACUUCUCCGCUGUCUCAACCGCGAACUCGGUGAAAUUGCAGUACGAGUAAAGAUGCUCGUUUCGCGCAGAAGGACGGAAAGACCCCGGGACCUUUACUAUAGCUUGGUAUUGGUGUUCGCUUGGACUUGUGUAGGAUAGGUGGGAGACUGUGAAGCUGCCGCGCCAGCGGUGGUGGAGUCGUCGUUGAAAUACCAUUCUGGUUUAAGCGGUCACCUUAACCUUGGCCCGUGAUCCGGGUUGGGGACAGUGCCUGGUGGGUAGUUUAACUGGGGCGGUUGCCUCCUAAAAUGUAACGGAGGCGCUCAAAGGUUCCCUCAGCCUGGUUGGUAAUCAGGUGGCGAGUGCAAGUGUACAAGGGAGCUUGACUGUGAGACCGACGGGUCGAGCAGGUGCGAAAGCAGGAACUAGUGAUCCGGCCAUGGCACGUGGGUGCGUGGUCGCUCAACGGAUAAAAGGUACCCCGGGGAUAACAGGCUGAUCUUGCCCAAGAGUCCAUAUCGACGGCAUGGUUUGGCACCUCGAUGUCGGCUCGUCGCAUCCUGGGGCUGGAGUUGGUCCCAAGGGUUGGGCUGUUCGCCCAUUAAAGCGGUACGCGAGCUGGGUUCAGAACGUCGUGAGACAGUUCGGUCCCUAUCC